rnacentral:rRNA from 1 species
AAAGUUCUUUUAUUUAGGAAAAAAAGCUUGAUAGGAAAUGAUUAAGCCUUGAUUGUACUAAAUGAAUAAGUGACAGCUAACUAUGUGCCAGCAGCUGCGGUAAAACAUAGGUCACGAGCAUUAUCCGGAUUUAUUGGGCGUAAAGGAAGCGUAGGCGGACAAAUUGAUCUAUUGUUAAAGGCACUUGCUCAACGAGUUGUUUGUGAUAGAUAUCGUUUGUCUAGAAUUAGUUAGGAGAUACUGGAAUUCAAUGUGUAGCGGUGGAAUGCGUAGAUAUAUUGAGGAACACCAGAGGCUAAGGCGAGUAUCUAGGACAUAAUUGACGCUGAGGCUUGAAAGCGUGGGGAGCAAAUGGGAUUAGAUACCCCAGUAGUCCACGCCGUAAACGAUGGGUAUUAGGUAUUUGGUCUAGGACUGAGUGCUGUAGCU